rnacentral:rRNA from 1 species
UACGUAGGGUGCAAGCGUUAAUCGGAAUUACUGGGCGUAAAGCGUGCGCAGGCGGCUAUGCAUGACAGAUGUGAAAUCCCCGGGCUUAACCUGGGAACUGCAUUCGUGACUGCAUGGCUAGAGUACGGCAGAGGGGGAUGGAAUUCCGCGUGUAGCAGUGAAAUGCGUAGAUAUGCGGAGGAACACCGAUGGCGAAGGCAAUCCCCUGGGCCUGUACUGACGCUGAGGCACGAAAGCGUGGGGAGCAAACAGG